GACGAACGCUGGCGGCGUGCUUAACACAUGCAAGUCGAGCGGAAAGGCCCUUCGGGGUACUCGAGCGGCGAACGGGUGAGUAACACGUGAGUAACCUGCCCCAGACUUUGGGAUAACCCUCGGAAACGGGGGCUAAUACCGGAUACGACACAGCUUCGCAUGGGGUCUGUGUGGAAAGUUUUUCGGUUUGGGCUGGGCUCGCGGCCUAUCAGCUUGUUGGUGGGGUGAUGGCCUACCAAGGCGACGACGGGUAGCCGGCCUGAGAGGGCGACCGGCCACACUGGGACUGAGACACGGCCCAGACUCCUACGGGAGGCAGCAGUGGGGAAUAUUGCACAAUGGGCGGAAGCCUGAUGCAGCGACGCCGCGUGAGGGAUGACGGCCUUCGGGUUGUAAACCUCUUUCAGCAGGGACGAAGCGUAAGUGACAGUACCUGCAGAAGAAGCGCCGGCCAACUACGUG
rnacentral:rRNA from 1 species